CCGGAGCUAAUACCGGAUAAUAUUUCGAACCGCAUGGUUCGAUAGUGAAAGAUGGUUCUGCUAUCACUUAUAGAUGGACCCGCGCCGUAUUAGCUAGUUGGUAAGGUAACGGCUUACCAAGGCGACGAUACGUAGCCGACCUGAGAGGGUGAUCGGCCACACUGGAACCGAGACACGGCCCAG
rnacentral:rRNA from 1 species